rnacentral:rRNA from 1 species
AUUGAACGCUGGCGGCAGGCCUAACACAUGCAAGUCGAGCGGUAGCACAGAGAGCUUGCUCUCGGGUGACGAGCGGCGGACGGGUGAGUAAUGUCUGGGAAACUGCCUGAUGGAGGGGGAUAACUACUGGAAACGGUAGCUAAUACCGCAUAACGUCGCAAGACCAAAGUGGGGGACCUUCGGGCCUCAUGCCAUCAGAUGUGCCCAGAUGGGAUUAGCUAGUAGGUGGGGUAACGGCUCACCUAGGCGACGAUCCCUAGCUGGUCUGAGAGGAUGACCAGCCACACUGGAACUGAGACACGGUCCAGACUCCUACGGGAGGCAGCAGUGGGGAAUAUUGCACAAUGGGCGCAAGCCUGAUGCAGCCAUGCCGCGUGUGUGAAGAAGGCCUUCGGGUUGUAAAGCACUUUCAGCGGGGAAGAAGGCGGUGAGGUUAAUAACCUUGUCGAUUGACGUUACCCGCAGAAGAAGCACCGGCUAACUCCGUGCCAGCAGCCGCGGUAAUACGGAGGGUGCAAGCGUUAAUCGGAAUUACUGGGCGUAAAGCGCACGCAGGCGGUCUGUCGAGUCGGAUGUGAAAUCCCCGGGCUCAACCUGGGAACUGCAUUCGAAACUGGCAGGCUAGAGUCUUGUAGAGGGGGGUAGAAUUCCAGGUGUAGCGGUGAAAUGCGUAGAGAUCUGGAGGAAUACCGGUGGCGAAGGCGGCCCCCUGGACAAAGACUGACGCUCAGGUGCGAAAGCGUGGGGAGCAAACAGGAUUAGAUACCCUGGUAGUCCACGCCGUAAACGAUGUCGAUUUGGAGGUUGUGCCCUUGAGGCGUGGCUUCCGGAGCUAACGCGUUAAAUCGACCGCCUGGGGAGUACGGCCGCAAGGUUAAAACUCAAAUGAAUUGACGGGGGCCCGCACAAGCGGUGGAGCAUGUGGUUUAAUUCGAUGCAACGCGAAGAACCUUACCUGGUCUUGACAUCCACAGAACUUUCCAGAGAUGGAUUGGUGCCUUCGGGAACUGUGAGACAGGUGCUGCAUGGCUGUCGUCAGCUCGUGUUGUGAAAUGUUGGGUUAAGUCCCGCAACGAGCGCAACCCUUAUCCUUUGUUGCCAGCGGUUAGGCCGGGAACUCAAAGGAGACUGCCAGUGAUAAACUGGAGGAAGGGGGGGAUGACGUCAAGUCAUCAUGGCCCUUACGACCAGGGCUACACACGUGCUACAAUGGCAUAUACAAAGAGAAGCGACCUCGCGAGAGCAAGCGGACCUCAUAAAGUAUGUCGUAGUCCGGAUCGGAGUCUGCAACUCGACUCCAUGAAGUCGGAAUCGCUAGUAAUCGUAGAUCAGAAUGCUACGGUGAAUACGUUCCCGGGCCU